CCGCUGCAACCGCAACUGCGAAUCGCACUUCGACGACCGGCGAGUAUACGCCCGCUGCGAGAAUGAAAACUUCCACGUUCAUCGUUCUGCUGGUGGUAGGCGCCUGCCUCGUUGCCGGCAGCGACUCCCUGGUGGCUAAGCCGAACGCGAGGGCAAAGAGGAGCGACUGCGUCUACGAAGAGUGCACGGACGAAGAGUGCGCUGCGCGCGGCAUGCAGUGCCGGCCGAAAGGGUGCGGAGGUUCCCACUGCGUGUAGCCCGGUAAAUAUGAUUUACACAGUGGCCAUCACGCUGGAUGUAAUGGAGCAGCGCUUCGCCAUGGGAAAAGUUCGUGGUUUUUCCGACUCAAGUGGAGCUUAAAGGAAGGAAGAAAGAACAGCGAAUAGGAUGACAACAAAUUUGAUAUGAUCUCGUCCGCAGAUUCAAUUACUGAUGAAAAAUUAAAAUUUAGCAAAAGGAAAAGCGAUCUUACGCACUGUUGUAUACCGUGGCAAAGUCCCUUCAUUUGUACCCUACACAAAGAAGAAUGUCGAGUUUAGUCGCACACGAGGUCGGCUUCAACGUGACAAUACUUUUUACACUGCAUCCUUGCGUUCUGCAUCGAGAACCUAUUCAAAAGCCUCUGUAUUGUCAGAUUAUGCUUCUGUGUGGUUUUCGGCAACAUAAUUCUGCCAUACAUUGCGGCGCUGUGGUUUUGCUUGUAAGAAACCACUCUAUUACUUUUGGCAAUGCCGAAAAUUGUACAGCGCAAUGUCGAUAUCUCUCGCUUCGAGCAGAGAAGCUGAUUAUUCACCGUAUAGCUCUAUUGCGAUUAUAAGUGUUCAUCGUUUAUAUUAAUACCACGCCACAGCAGUUAUACUAUUGUUGGAUUUGAUAUAUAUUAAAACAAAACAUAUUUGCAACAAGUGCAAUAAAAUCCUGACUCGCUGUC